AUACGGAGGGUGCAAGCGUUGUUCGGAAUUACUGGGCGUAAAGCGCGUGCAGGCGGUAAGGUAAGUCAGAUGUGAAAGCCCCGGGCUCAACCCGGGAAGUGCAUUUGAUACUGCCUUUCUUGAGUAUGGGAGAGGAGAGUGGAAUUCCCAGUGUAGAGGUGAAAUUCGUAGAUAUUGGGAGGAACACCCGUGGCGAAGGCGACUCUCUGGACCAAUACUGACGCUGAGACGCGAAAGCGUGGGGAGCGAAUAGGAUUAGAAACCCCAGUAGUCC
rnacentral:rRNA from 1 species